UGUUAGGAGGAGGGGGGUCAGAGAAAAGGGAAUAUUUAAUGAGGGUCUGCAGCAGGGACGUGCACACAUAGGAGUGAAAGGGGGCUGGAGCCCCUGCCCUUUUCCUCACCUGCCCCUCUAGUGCCCUCACAAAAGGAGGUGCAGACUCAGGCUGACAAGUGAAGUAAAAAGGAUCCAUUGCUGGAGAUUUGUAUGUGGUUUAAUGGAGGGUGCUGUGCCCUCCCUGCAGCAAGGGGGCGCCACUCACCCUGUCAUUAUCUGCCAUUUCUUUGCUUCUCUCCACACGGAGGAGACAGGAGCAGAGGAGGCAGAGGGAGGCCCCGCCCACAACAUGUCCGGCCACAAACCAGUCUAAGCAGCCCUUACUAGGAUCAGAAUGCAUUGGCAUAGUGAGGAGACGUCUGGGCAUCAAGUUCUGCAGAGAGAAGAUUUAGCUGGAACAAAUCCUGGCGCCAAUCAGAGAGCAGCACUACUGAAAUAGAACUCCCAGGAGUGAGGGGCCGGUGCUGGACACUGUGUAGGGACGCGGGAAUGCAAAGUCAUACACAUGACUGUGACUGAUGCACUAUCUCCAGGACAUGGAGUAGCAUUUCCGGACCUACAGCAAGACGUUGGAUGAAGGCAUAGCCCCAGAAAUAACACUGGUCCUGUUCAUCAGUGAGGGGCCGGUGCUGGACACUGUGUAGGGACACGGGAAUGCAAAGUCAUGCACAUGACUGUGACUGAUGCACUAUUUCCAGGACAUGGAGUAGCAUUUCGGGACCUACAGCAAGACGUUGGAUGAAGGCACAGGCCUAGGAAUCAUGCACAUACACAGAAACAUUUGCCCAAAUUCUAGAGGUAACCUCCUUUAGUAUGCCCAGAGGAAGGGCCAUACAGUAGCCAUGGAUUCCCUACAGGUUUCCUCCCCUCUGGAGGUUUUUCCUGUCCUGAGUAUUAGUUACUGUACGCUCUUUGUGAGUGAUGGGAGGUUACAAAAAAUCCCCUACACAAACAUUUUAAUAAAUAAUAAAUAAAGUUCCCCU